ensembl:lncRNA
GCCAUGCCAUCAAGACGUCUCUGCGCCUGCAUUGGGGGAUUCCUGAGCUAGAGGGCCUGGUCUCGCCUCCCAGCAGCCAAUAAGAGCCCUGCCUGCAUCCAGUUGCCAUGCCAACUCCUUCUCCUCUUUCACCGCUGUCUCCAUGGUGACCGUGGCUUUAGAUUGUUACUGUACCAACAGCACGUGGUAACAGUCUACAGCCAUGGUCGUCAGGGGGGCUGUUGCCACAGCAACAGUAGUGGCCCAGCAGAAAAAUGGAACUCCUGAGGUGCGAGGAACGUCCCGCAGGGAGUGCUCUGUCCCACAACAACCGACGGUCGUCACCAUAGAAACACGCAGAACACAGAUGAUGCGGCACCAGCUGACAGUGCUGGAAGUAGGUCGUGAGAGAGGCACGGGGAGGCAGCAACCCCCAGCCCAGCACAGCAUUCUCACACAUCUCCUCCGUUCACUCAUCAUCGCUCGAACCCCUUUGCCUAAGACAAGUUGUCUUUUCACAGACUGCAAAGAAACACACAGCAUGGCAAAAUAAAUCUGAAUGAAAAACCCAAUUAUCUAUACCUUCUUUACAUUUACAUUUAUAGAGGUUUCCGAUAAAGGAUAGCUAUAUGAUGUCUUGAUAUGAGUGUUACAUAGAGAAAGAAAUCUGUCGUAAGCUUGUCGUAAGCUUGGAGCUUGCAGCUCAGAGAAGUUCCUUUUAAGUUGGAGCAUGAACGGGUCUCAGACGGGUCGUAACGAACCCGUUUCCUGCCGUCUCUCAGCACCACAACGCUCGAAAGCACUCAAGGAAACACGAGUAGUCUGUUUGAUGAACUCUCUUUGAUUAAUCUCAGCUCGCCCCAAACCUCUGAGAGGCUUAGCAAUGCAUAGCCAUCUUUACAUGGAUGAGAACAUGGCCUCUCCUUUAUGUCACAGCAACUACACUUUCCAUCCUAACAAGGGAUCCCUUCUGUUGAGGACUGUUAGUGUGGGCAAAAUAAAUCAAAUUAUCAUCCACGCAGACCAAACUACCAUACUUUGUCUAAUCUGGACAGUGAUAAUGCUUGGCUGUAAGAUUGGUUAGUCUUGAGAAACCAACUGUGGCAUCGAAAAAAAACAAAAAACAUAAUAUGCUAUGAGUAGUUUGCUGCCAUAUUUUAUUCUCUUUAAUAACCAUUUUAGCCUGGUCUUUUAAGGGGAAGCUGUGAUAUUGCUUAUUGCAGCUGUUUUACGCCACACUUUGCUCUUCAACUACUACAGAAAGUUGUUCACAAAGUCUUGGCUUUGGUGCAAGAAGAGAGAUGGUUGCACUUUUACUGAUGUUAAAAUGAUGAUGAACAUGAUGUACAAAUCAUGUGUAGUGAAUCAAGUCUUCUCUUGUAAAUAUGUAAAAGUUCAUCAAAUAAAUAUCUAGAAAUGCCCCUGCUGAUGUUUGAGUUUUGUGUUCUCCGAUAUUUCAAAACAGGGAAUGUUUGAAAUCCUUGCAAUACAAUGCCUACACACCUGAAACCCUUGCACGUCGAUGCCAGGCCUGAGACGGUCCUAGAUCAAAAAGAGAGAUAAAACCGUCUCCUGUUGUACCUUUCCAAUGAUUAUAGGGAAGUGUGUGAUGUCACAUUCUGGAACACCUCAAGGCCAACCCCCCAGAGACAGUUCCAGUGGGUGUCGGCCUUCAGUCACAUGGCUUCACAUUCUAUAGAUCAGAUCAGUCAGAUGGCUUCACAUGACAAUGCUAUAGAUGAGUCACAGACCUUCACAUGACAAUGCUAUGAAGAGUCACAGACCUUCACAUGACAAUGCUAUAGAUCAGGGGUUUUCAACUGGUUUUGUCCCAGGGACCACCAUUCUGACUAGAAAGUAAUUUGCGGCCCACUGAUGUGCCUGCACACGCGUGCGUGUUUGUAACCGCCGCCGCCAAGCCCCCUCCCCCUGCAGAGAUAUUUUGCCUAUAACACUUAUAUAUGUGAAAUGAUCAGGGUACAUCGCUAGCUGCCACCACGCCCCCUCCCUUUGCACAGAUAUUCUGCCUAUAACACUUAAAUAUGUGCAGUUAUCAGGGUAGAUCACUUACCGUCGUUGCCACACCCCCUCCCCCCGUACACAUAUUCCGCCUGUAGCACUUGUCAGUGUAAUUUCUUAGAUAUUUUUUAAUCUUGAAAUGUGUUGAAAUAUCUAAGCAAAUUUAUAAAAAUAAAAAAAUUCAAUGGUGAACUGAUCAACAUAGGCUCAUGUCGCGGACCCCCUGCAAUGCCGUCACGGACCACCAGGGGGCCACGGACCCCCUGUUGAAAACCCCUGCUAUAGAUGAGUCACAGACCUUCACAUGACAAUGCUAUGAAGAGUCACAGACCUUCACAUGACAAUGCUAUGAAGAGUCACAGACCUUCACAUGACAAUGCUAUAGAUGAGUCACAGACCUUCACAUGACAAUGCUAUAGAUGAGUCACAGACCUUCACAUGACAAUGCUAUAGAUCAGUCACAAACUUUCACAUGACAAUGCUAUAGCUAUAAAUCAGUCACAGGGCUUUACAUGACAAUGCUAUAGAUCAGUCACAUGGCUUUACAUGACAACAAACCAAAUGUGCCAAUGAUUCUUGUGUGCAACACACGCUGAACAGAGGGGUGUGAAGAUCUUUGAAAGCCAAGUGAAGAAAACUCUUACCAUCACUGAUCUAUAAUAUUUAAAGGCUUGAGUAGUUUCUGUGAGCGCGUGCAGCCUGAGGGCGCCAUACGCAGUCCCAGAGGGGUCCCUGUUUACCUCCUGUACCUACAGCUCUGACUAAUGAGUGCACUUGGAUAUCAGUCUAUUUAGCUAUGACGAAAAAGACCAACUGAAGGUAAAGCUAUUCAUCCUUGGCACAGAGCUCUACUGGAAAACCCUGCAUUCUGAGCAGGCAGUAUAGUCCAGUCCAGUACUCCAUAUCCCAAAGGCUUUGUUGUGCUGUGAUCAUCACUAAAAGUGCAACAUGACAGACUGAUUUUUUUAAACUAUCUUUUAGUGCCCAUGGCUUCUUACAUCAAUGCUUUUGGGGAACACUGUCCAGUCUGAAGACAGGGGUCUUUGCUGCAGAGGCCGGUUGGUCAGCUCUGGCGUUGGGGCCUGUAGGAUUGAGUCAGGGUCAGGGGUCAGGUUUAUUAAGUGGCGGCUCACAUCUCCUCUGUGCCUCUUUUAGUUCCGUCUGCCUUGCCGUGUCUCAUGAUAAUCUGAAAGCCUAUGCUGCCACCUAGAGGUCAGUAAAAGUUUACAACUUAAAUUUUCAUAAGGUGGCUUAGUUACUACACACAAACACAAACCUUAUCAAAAAAAAAAACUGUGAAAAAACUCAAGCCAAGAAAAGAAAAGUCAUGUGUCCUGUUUGUUCAAGUUAACGUAUUAAUCUUUAAUGAUGCAGAAAAUGUUACAGAAUGAAAACUUGAAAAACUAAAACUUCAGGUUUGGUGCAAUAUGUGGUUUUAUUUGGGAGACGUGUAGACCAUAUAUCAAUAAAGUCUCUCCUUCGCUCCAACACACACACACACUCUGAUGUGGAAGCUCAGUUUUUGUCUGGGACUUUUAUCUAUGGGAGAGACAGACUGAGAAGAGGAGAGGAGCUGGAGGACAGGAGGAAAAAGGGAAUAUGGAGAGAAGCUUUAGAUAAAGACUGUGAAAGAGAGAGAGAGAGAGAGAGAGAGAUGCAGCAGAAACAUCCCUCACACAUGUGUCCACACUCUUCACACACACACAUGCACACACACUCUUCACACACACACACACACACACACUCAUCCACAUGCACACACACUCUUCGCACACGCUCACACUCCCUCAGGGGCGACUCCUCCCUGCACUGCAAGAGUUCAUGUGCCGACACACACAGAGUACACAUCACAGCACAUAAACUCUUACUGUUCAUGGUGAAGCGCACAGGGACUCAAGACAGGAAAUAAACACAAACACACAACACAUGUGUACACACACACAUCAAGAUCCCCAAUUAUGCACAACCACAUUCACCACACACACAUACACACACCCAAAUACACACACACCCCAAACUCGUGGGUAUUGCACAGUGCCUGAGCUAUGGGGGGGGGGGGGGAUUUGAACCAUGCCUUCAGCCUUCCUUGCAGAACGCAGUGUCCAGAUAAACAGGAAACCCAUAAACCAUUCAAGUCAUGCUGGCUCUUGAUGAUAUUAAGCAACUCCUAACUCCUUUCUCUCCACCACCUCCUCCUCCUCCUCCCUCUUCUCCUCCUCCUCCUCCUCCCAUCUGUGCGCUGUUAGCCAGAGAGCUGUCAUCAGCUCAUAAAUCUAAAGCCGCUCUUGAUUUCAAACACCCAAGUCUGUGGGAUCACAAUCAAACAAACACGUUCACCACACAGACACACAGAGCCUAAGGUCCUCCUACUCUCUCUCUCUCUCUCUCUCUCCCUUCCUCCUCUCUCUCUCUCCCUUCCUCCUCUCUCUCUCCCUUCCUCCUCUCUCUCUCCUUCCUCUCUCCCCUCCUCCUCUCUCUCUCUCCCCUCCUCUCUCUCUCCCAUCCUCCUCUCUCUCUCUCUUCCCUCCUCCUCUCCAUCUCUCUCUUUUCUCCUCUCUCUCUCUCUCACUCCUCUCUUUCUCUUCCCUCCUCCUCACUAUCUCUCUCUCUCUCUCCUCCUCCUCUAUCUCUCUCUCCUUUCCACCUCUCUCUCUCUACCCUCCUCUUCUCUCUCUCUCUCUCCCCUCCUCUCUAUCUAUCUCUCCCCUCCACCUCUCUCUUUCUCUCUCUCACCUCCUCUAUCGCUCUCUACCCUCCUCCUCUCUAUCUCUCUCUCCCUUCCUCCUCUCUCUCUGUCAGCGUAAGUUCUCUUCCUUUGCUCCUCUCUCUUCCAUUCCCCUACUCCUCCAGACUGUUUGUAAACACUGGACAUGUGAGACCCCACACUACAGUAAACAUGUGAGACCCCACGCCACAGUAAACAUGUGAGACCCCACACUACAGUAAACAUGUGAGACCCCACGCCACAGUAAACAUGUGAGACCCCACACUACAGUAAACAUGUGAGACCCCACGCUACAUUAGACAUGUGAGACCCCACGCUACAUGUGAGACCCCACGCCACAGUAAACAUGUGAGACCCCACGCUACAGUAAACAUGUGAGACCCCACGCCACAGUAAACAUGUGAGACCCCACGCUACAUUAAACAUGUGAGACCCCACGCUACAUGUGAGACCCCACACUACAGUAAACAUGUGAGACCCCACGCUACAGUAAACAUGUGAGACCCCACGCUACAUGUGAGACCCCACGCUACAUGUGAGACCCCACGCUACAUGUGAGACCCCACACUACAUGGGAGACCCCACGCUACAGUAGACAUUCUGGGAAGACCAGAGACCCAACCUUCCGAUACAGACUAUGAUACACAAUGACUACAUACAGACUACACAAUGACUACAUACAGACUACACAAUGACUACAUACAGACUACACAAUGACUACAUAUAGACUACACAAUGACUACAUACAGGCACUGUAUUCUCUCCUAAUGCUCCUGAAAAUGUAGGAAGAUACAUGGUUUCCUGGUUUAAACGACGACUAUAAGGUCCUGAAUUCAAAACAGUAAAGAAAACGGCCAAAUGUAGAAAAAGAUUGAUUGAUCAGCACUCUCACAUAAAGGGAUUGUACCCAGUCAUACCUGGUGAAUCCAGAGGAGGCAUCAAACCCACUUAAAACAAAUCAGAAUCAUGACAAAGAAUCAUUGCCAGAUUUGGAAUAAAACACCACUAUUAAAGUUAACAACAAGUUGAAGUCCUCCCCACACAGACAUACUCAUUGGGAUCAGCUCACCAAACUCCCCCAUGUGAAGCUCCAGUGCCUGCCCAGAGUCUGCCUCAUGUCCAGAGUAGUUCAUGCUGUUUGGCAGGUCCAGCCGAGGUCUGGUGAGUUAGUCCAAAAGUCUGCGUAAACAGUCCGUCCCGCCACGCCAUGUCCACACAGAGAACACAGUGUGAGCGCGUGUGGUUUGGACUGCAGGCCAAGAGCAAGAGCACAACAUCUAUUAAAUGCUGUACACACACACACACACACACAAUCGCUCUCUCUCUCUCACACGCACACAUACGCUAACACUCACAACCACAAACUUCAGUCUCCUACUCACUCUCCUCUUCACUCAGCUGUAUUCAUGCAAGGUAUGAGUCUCCCCUGUCUCACACACACACCAGAGUUUUACCACUCUUCAGCACCUUCUACCUGCUCUUGAAAAGUCCUAAGUCAGAGGAAGAGGAAGAGUAGCGAGCAGCUGAUGCCACUGAUGACCUCAGAGCACCUCCAGACAAGGAGACGACCAAGUCCAGCAGUGGUGGGUGAGCUCUCAUACACGCACAGACACACACAGACACACACAUAUACACACAGAGGUAGUUUCCAGGAGGAAUCCAGGAGAAUCCACAUGAUGUAUGGAUGCUCCAGAUGGUCUUAAGAUGGUAUGAAGUCUUGCUGGCUCCACCUUCAUUGGUCCGUCACCAUGGAGGGCAUCUAGAGGUUCUUUCUGGUCUCUGGUUCUCCUGACUCUCCAUCAUCCUUAACGAUCUCUGUGAAAGCCCCAUCAGCCUC